rnacentral:lncRNA from 1 species
ACCGCAUCACAGACAAAUUGAUUCCAACUUAGUUCAAGAUACCAUAGUUGGAGCCAUAUGAUAGCUCUUUAGAUCCACCUCAACACUACAAUAGUUACGCCUCGUUGACUUUUCCCUAAGGUCAGAUCCUCAUAGAGAUCGAGAAUGAAGGCUACCUCCCCCGACCUCCAUCAAUGAUGACCCUCACAACCUAAUGAAACAAGCAGAAGUACUACCACUUCCAUUGUGACCACGAUUAUGAAAC